rnacentral:rRNA from 1 species
AGAGCGAACGCUGGCGGCAGGCCUAAUACAUGCAAGUCGAACGGACCCUUCGGGGUUAGUGGCGGACGGGUGAGUAACACGUGGGAACGUGCCCUUUGGUUCGGAACAACUCAGGGAAACUUGAGCUAAUACCGAAUGUGCCCUUCGGGGGAAAGAUUUAUCGCCAUUGGAGCGGCCCGCGUCUGAUUAGCUAGUUGGUGGGGUAAAGGCUCACCAAGGCUACGAUCAGUAGCUGGUCUGAGAGGAUGAUCAGCCACACUGGGACUGAGACACGGCCCAGACUCCUACGGGAGGCAGCAGUAGGGAAUCUUGCGCAAUGGGCGAAAGCCUGACGCAGCCAUGCCGCGUGAAUGAUGAAGGUCUUAGGAUUGUAAAAUUCUUUCAGCGGGGACGAUAAUGACGGUACCCGCAGAAGAACGCCCGGCUAACUUCGCGCCAGCAGCCGC